CUUAUAUUAAUUUCAUAACCUUAAAAUGUUGUAAAUAAAGUGAAAAGUCUAUAUUCACAUUAAAUAAAGAAUAUGUAAUAUUAUAAUUUGCUUAACAAUGUCAGUCGAAAAAUCUUUAUUUUCCAAAUAUGUCACAAUAUUUUUUGUGGUUAGUGGAUACUGGAUUGUUUCUAUUACUACAGUUUUUGUCAAUAAAACAUUAUUCAGUCACAUUGACUUGGAUGCCCCAAUGUUUAUAAAUUUUACUCAAACAUUAAUUACAGCAGCAAUAUGUUAUAUGAAGAAGAUUCUUAGUACAACAUACCCAAACACAUUUAGAUUUCCAGAUGUAGAUUUAUGGGACAAACACACUUUGAAAACAGUAUUACCUCUUUCUAUUCUGUUCACUACAAUGAUCUCUACAAACAAUUUAUGCUUAAAAUAUGCAUCAGUAGCCUACUACUAUAUUGGAAGAUCACUCACAACAAUAUUUAAUGUAGUAUUUACAUUUUUAAUACUGGGAGAAACAACUUCAAGAAAAUGUAUAGCUUGUUGUGCUGUUAUUAUAGGUGGUUUUUGGUUGGGAGUUGACCAAGAAAAUUUAGCAGGAAGUUUAUCAAUACCUGGAUUUAUAUUUGGCAUUCUGGGAUCCCUAUCAUUAUCACUAUUUUCAAUAUUUACAAAAAAAGUCUUACCCAAAUUAAAUGGUGAGAUUUGGGCAUUAUCCUAUGCUAAUAACGUUUAUGCCAGUAUUCUUUUAUUUUUUGUUAUGAUUUUAAAUAAUGAGCUUGGGGAAUUAUACAAUUACCCAAAAUUCUCAGAAUUAUUUUUCUGGUCCAUAGUGAUAGUUGGAGGGGUUUGUGGAUUUACUAUUGGAUAUUUUACAACAUUGCAGAUAAAAGUAAGUGAUAUGACACAAUUAUCCGUCUUUACAUUGCAAAGUGAGUAUUGGAUUUUUUUUUAUAAAACAUUGGAAUCUCAUUAUAAAAUAUUUAUAAUAAAUUUAAUUACUGGAUUCCUACUCCACCAGAUUGUAGCUAGAAUGUAUGUGCUAGGAAUUGCUUUGAGUCAUGUUUGCUUUUGCAAUUAAUUUUGAAGUUAAAGUUGAGAUAUAGUAAUUCUAUGAAGAAACAUGUACUCUAGAUGAAAGGAUAUCAAAGAGUUGGGAUUUUAUGAGAUCAAAAUUAAACUGAGGUUUAUUUAUGAAAUUUUAUGUUUCCUUAUUUCUUAAAAUCUAUUUUAUUCCCAGGCCAAUGUGAUAAAUUCCUCUUAAUAAUAUUUUAGAGAAAUUAUGUAAUGGCACAAAUAAUUUUUCUAUUUUAAUAUAUUGGAAAAUCUUGAGUAUACCUCUUCACUAUUGUUUUGAUCAAUGUCGUUUUUUUAGUAAUCUGUAUGCAAAAUCAUAUACCAAGGCACUAGUAAAACAUUUAUUCUAGAAAACUGACAACCUUGUUUAACAAGAGAAUAUGAACUUCACUACACUCUAAGACUAAGCCCACAUGCAUAGUCCUAAGUGCGUCAAAUACAAAACGAACUUCACUAGUUUUAGCACCUGAAGUGCCUUGGACGAAAUUUCUACAGCACCUCUUAACUGCCAUUCGAAUCUAUAUGAAAAAAGGCAAAGAAUAUCAUGAAAUAUUUAAAUAACCGUUUAUUGAAAAAAUAAUAGAAAAUUUACUUUUCUAGCCUUUCUAUCAGUGCACUCUUUUAUUAAGUUUAAAAGUCGAUGUUUACAACAAUGUCAUCUUUGAUUGAAAAAGUUGCCAAGUUUGUCAAUUUAAAUUAUUGUGGUAUUGUCGAUCAUAGAUAGGUUUUUAUCAACUUAAGCUUAGAAAAACUCUGCCCACUAGCAACCGUUACAGACAUAGUCAAUAAUCUUUGAGGAGCAAAAAUUCAAAAGGAAUAUGAUCCAAAAUUUAAUCCACUACUGCCAAUCAUUCAAAUGGAUCUUUAUCCCCUUUAAAAUCUAUGUUAAAAUGUCGCUGUUAGUUCAGAUGAAUUAUUAUCCAUAAAUAUAUUUCAAAUGGCAUUUUAUUUACACUUACAAUUUGGUUCAGACCAGACUUUAUCUGCUCUAGUUUUUACAAUCAGAAAUCAGAUGUAGGUUCAAAAAGAUUUCUAUCCACACAUGUAUGUUUUUCACUUCAGUGUUGUUUACAAUGUAUUUUCUAAUGGAUUUAGUGGAAUAUAUUUAUUAUAUAUACAAUGAGUUGUAGUCAGUAAUGCUAAUCAGGUAGCAGAAAGAGACAUAGAAAUGUUACAUAACGACAAAAUACAAGUAAUUGAGGUAUCUGGUUUAUUUUCCCAAUUUAUAAAAUUUUGAGAAACCAUGUAAACAUGACGGACCAACAUGUAAAUGUAUGAAAGUUUUGAAGCAAGACAUUAUGAUAGAAAGUGGCCCAAAAAUUAAAUUUUAAACAUCAGGGUGGGCAACGCAUUUGUACUAGUGAACUUGCGUUUGAGUUUUAGUGAGUGAGACACAGUGGGUGGUAUAAGAGGCGAAGGGUCCACGUAAUAGCUUGUUUACUCACAUUAAGUCAAAAUUUUGUCAAGACAUUAUCAAGAGUUUUCUGGGCCUCCGGUAACGGAUCAAAAGAGUUAAAUAAAUCAAGACCAUCAUCACCAACUAAGUUCAAUAGAAUUGCAACCUUUUUUCAUCAUUUUCAUUGCUUAAACUUGUAGCAGUCAGAAAAUUUCGGAAUUUUUGUUCAAAUUUUUGCCAGUUAUCAGCUAGGCUUCCUUCAAUGGAUAAAGGAUCUGGAGGUUUGUAGUAUGAUUCCAUUGCUGUUGACUUCUACUUAUAUCGCAGCAAAGUCCAGCUUACUAAUGUCUAAGUACGAAUGUCCGAAAUUUACUCAAGCUUUUUUAUCAAGUUUUUACACCUGACACCAUGUAUUAUUAUACCAUGAUCGGAGCUAUUUUAUUAAAAUAAAACGAAUCUGUAAAUGUAACACCACGUGUCUUUAUUGAAACGUCUUGACAAAAAGCCGCGUAUUAGAAUCGUCUUUUCUCGAGUCCAAAACACUGGCCUCAACCCCCACAUGCCUGUUGAGCCAAUUAAUUGUAAAUUUUAAUUGACUCAUACAAAGGUGGCGGGAUAGCUAUGAAACAAAUAUAUAAUCGAUAACCUAUAUAAUACAUAUUAUGCUGGUUCUUAUCUUAGGUAUUGAGUUAUUU